rnacentral:rRNA from 1 species
UGCAAGUCGAGCGCCCAGCAAUGGGAGCGGCAGACGGGUGAGUAACGCGUGGGGAUCUACCCAUUGGUACGGAAUAACCCAGGGAAACUUGGACUAAUACCGUAUGUGCCCUUCGGGGGAAAGAUUUAUCGCCAAUGGAUGAACCCGCGUCGGAUUAGCUAGUUGGUGGGGUAAAGGCUCACCAAGGCGACGAUCCGUAGCUGGUCUGAGAGGAUGAUCAGCCACACUGGGACUGAGACACGGCCCAGACUCCUACGGGAGGCAGCAGUGGGGAAUAUUGGACAAUGGGCGCAAGCCUGAUCCAGCCAUGCCGCGUGAGUGAUGAAGGCCUUAGGGUUGUAAAGCUCUUUCGCCGGUGAAGAUAAUGACGGUAACCGGAGAAGAAGCCCCGGCUAACUUCGUGCCAGCAGCCGCGGUAAUACGAAGGGGGCUAGCGUUGCUCGGAAUCACUGGGCGUAAAGCGCACGUAGGCGGAUCGUUAAGUCAGGGGUGAAAUCCUGGGGCUCAACCUCAGAACUGCCCUUGAUACUGGCGAUCUCGAGUUCGAGAGAGGUUGGUGGAACUCCGAGUGUAGAGGUGAAAUUCGUAGAUAUUCGGAAGAACACCAGUGGCGAAGGCGGCCAACUGGCUCGAUACUGACGCUGAGGUG